ensembl:snRNA U6 U6 spliceosomal RNA
GUGCUCGCUUCGGCAGCACAUAUACUAAAACUGGAGCGAUAGAGAUUAGCAUGGCCCCUGCACAAGGAUGACACGCAAAUUCGUGAAGCGGUCCAUAUUUAA